rnacentral:lncRNA from 1 species
UAUAAGCCAUCGAUUGUUCUCGAAUUUUAUAUAUGAGUAACUGCACUUCUGUCUAUGUGCAUCGUCGCUUUCUUCAGUUCAUUGAGCUCUUCGCAGCUUAGCUUUAUCCGACGUCGUCAGAGUAGUUAGCGUCUAACAUUUGCUUUUCUGUGGCAUGUUUGCGAAAUAUCAAUAAGCAACUACAACGCUCCCCGGGGUCCCCAACGAAACGUUCCCUUAAACCGGCGUUUCAAAGCGCGGGAGAUCUGCUUGUUGUGGGAAUAAUGCGUAAUGGAACAGGCCAAAUCGAAGACGUGGUGUGCUGACACUCGGAGUCAGAAACUAUUUAGCACCUCUCGCUGCAUGGUUGUAAUCAUUCUCCCCGUCGAAGAACCAUAUGAGAGAUAAAUGGCGUGCAAUGAAGAAAUGGUCGCUGUCAUUGGCAAGAAUAUUACUAGAGCCAUAUCCAACAAGAAUAUGGUUAAAAGGUUGGUCAAGCCGUCGCCCAGGAAGGAACACACCGCUCUCGUUGGCAGGGCGCAGAAUGUUCGGAACAGUGGCAGCAUAGGGAACCCUUG